rnacentral:rRNA from 1 species
CUCCGGGUGAUCCCGCCGGACCCGACUGCUAUCAGAGUGGGACUAAGCCAUGCGAGUCAACGUAGCAAUACGUGGCAUACGGCUCAGUAACACGUAGUCAACAUGCCCAGGGGACGUGGAUAACCUCGGGAAACUGAGGAUAAACCGCGAUAAGCCAAGGUUUCUGGAAUGGACACUGGCUGAAACCUAUACGGCCCCUGGAUUGGACUGCGGCCGAUCAGGCUGUUGGUGAGGUAAUGGCCCACCAAACCUGUAACCGGUACGGGCUUUGAGAGAAGGAGCCCGGAGAUGGGCACUGAGACAAGGGCCCAGGCCCUAUGGGGCGCAGCAGGCGCGAAACCUCUGCAAUAGGCGAAAGCUUGACAGGGUUACUCUGAGUGAUGCCCGCUAAGGGCAUCUUUUGGCACCUCUAAAAAUGGUGCAGAAUAAGGGGUGGGCAAGUCUGGUGUCAGCCGCCGCGGUAAUACCAGCACCCCGAGUGGUCGGGACGAUUAUUGGGCCUAAAGCAUCCGUAGCUUGUUCUGCAAGUCCUCCGUUAAAUCCACCUGCUCAACAGAUGGGCCGCGGAGGAUACUACAGGGCUAGGAGGCGGGAGAGGCAAGCGGUACUCAGUGGGUAGGGGUAAAAUCCUCUGAUCCAUAGAAGACCACCAGUGGCGAAGGCGGCUUGCCAGAACGCGCUCGACGGUGAGGGAUGAAAGCUGGGGGAGCAAACCGGAUUAGAUACCCGGGUAGUCCCAGCUGUAAACGAUGCAGACUCGGUGAUGGGUUGGCUUUGAGCCAACCCAGUGCCGCAGGGAAGCCGUUAAGUCUGCCGCCUGGGGAGUACGGUCGCAAGACUGAAACUUAAAGGAAUUUGGCGGGGAGCA